rnacentral:rRNA from 1 species
AGCAGCCGCGGUAAUUCCAGCUCCAAUAGCGUAUAUUAAAGUUGUUGCAGUUAAAAAGCUCGUAGUUGAAUUUCGGGGUUAGUAGGUUGGUCAUGCCUCUGGUAUGUACUGGUCUCACUGAUUCCUCCUUCCUUAUGAACCGUAAUGCCAUUAAUUUGGUGUUGCGGGAAAUUUGGACUGUUACUUUGAAAAAAUUAGAGUGUUAAAGCAAGCUAACGCUUGAAUACAUUAGCAUGGAAUAAUGAAAUAGGACGUUCGAUCUUAUUUUGUUGGUUUCUAGGAUUGACGUAAUGAUUAAUAGGGAUAGUUGGGGGGCAUUAGUAUUCAAUUGUCAGAGGUGAAAUUCUUGGAUUUAUUGAAGACUAACUACUGCGAAAGCAUUUGCCAAGGAUGUUUUCAUUAAUCAAGAACGAAAGUUAGGGGGAUCGAAGACGAUCAGAUACCGUCGUAGUCUUAACCAUAAAACUAUGCCGACUAGGGAUCGGAUGAUGUUAAUUUUUUUAAUGACUCAUUCGGCGCC